rnacentral:tRNA from 1 species
GCUCCUGUAGCUCAGUCGGUAGAGCGUUUCCAUGGUAAGGAAGAGGUCGCAGGUUCUAUUCCUGUCGGGAGCA